AGAGUUUGAUCAUGGCUCAGGACGAACGCUGGCGGCGUGCCUAACACAUGCAAGUCGAACGGUCCGGUGAGGGAAGAGCUUGCUUGGAACUUACCGGAUAGUGGCGGACGGGUGAGUAACGCGUGAACAAUCUACCCUUAAGUUCGGGAUAACACCGGGAAACCGGUGCUAAUACCGGAUAUGCUCACGCUGGGGCAUCCCAGAGUGAGGAAAGGGUUUACCGCUUAAGGAUGAGUUCGCGUCCCAUUAGCUAGUUGGUAGGGUAACGGCCUACCAAGGCGACGAUGGGUAGCCGGCCUGAGAGGGUGGACGGCCACACUGGGACUGAGACACGGCCCAGACUCCUACGGGAGGCAGCAGUGGGGAAUAUUGCGCAAUGGGGGGAACCCUGACGCAGCGACGCCGCGUGAGCGAAGAAGGCCUUCGGGUCGUAAAGCUCUGUCAUAAGGGAAGAAGUCUCUCGUUAUGAGAGGUGACGGUACCUUAAGAGGAAGCCCCGGCUAACUACGUGCCAGCAGCCGCGGUAAU
rnacentral:rRNA from 1 species